CCUACGGGAGGCAGCAGUGGGGAAUAUUGGACAAUGGGGGGAACCCUGAUCCAGCCAUGCCGCGUGUGUGAAGAAGGCCCUCGGGUUGUAAAGCACUUUCAGUGAGGAAGAACGCCUGGUGGUUAAUACCCAUCAGGAAAGACAUCACUCACAGAAGAAGCACCGGCUAACUCCGUGCCAGCAGCCGCGGUAAUACGGAGGGUGCGAGCGUUAAUCGGAAUUACUGGGCGUAAAGCGCGCGUAGGUGGCUUGAUAAGCCGGUUGUGAAAGCCCCGGGCUCAACCUGGGAACGGCAUCCGGAACUGUCAAGCUAGAGUGCAGGAGAGGAAGGUAGAAUUCCCGGUGUAGCGGUGAAAUGAGUAGAGAUCGGGAGGAAUACCAGUGGCGAAGGCGGCCUUCUGGACUGACACUGACACUGAGGUGCGAAAGCGUGGGUAGCAAACAGGAUUAGAUACCCCAGUAGUC
rnacentral:rRNA from 1 species